GAUCACAGUCCAAGUCCCUCCUGCUCAGCAAUGAGGAGCGAUACCAUGUGAGGACCAACCAAGACAAGAGAUCCAACCCCCUAACCAACCAGCAAAAACAUUUCUUAUACAUCGACUAAAAUAUUGUAGGCCUACAUGCCUACACAUACACUGAGUGUACAAAACACCUAAAAUUGAGUUGCACCCAUUAGGUGUCCUAGCAGGUGCAGGAACCAUAUUGUUUUGUUAGUGUUCUAAUUAUAUUUCCUGGGUCUUCCUCCUUUUGGUCAAUAUCUCCACAACCGUUUGAUAAAAAUAUGUACAAAAUAUAUAUAAAAUAGUAACAAAUGGCAGGUUGGAGAACCCCUACAUUUUGAUCUAGGGAGGGUUUAUUAAUGGCUUACAACUCACCAAUAAAUAGGUUUACAACCGGCCAAGCGGCUAUGUGGGUUAAAGCAUGGUGCUGGCAACACCAGGAGGUUGGAGUUGAUUCCCACAUGGGCCACAUACUGAAUGUAAGUAUCACUGGCAAUUGUAAUAUAAGUCGCUUUAGAUAAAAGCAUCUACCAAUGACCAUAUCAUUAUCAUAUGAUAUCACAAUGUAAAGAACACAAUUCAAUAUCAUUACCAAUAUUUCAAUGUGCAUGAAAAGUGAUAAAGUAGUGGCUGGAACAUUAACAGAA